rnacentral:rRNA from 1 species
UACGAAGGGUGCAAGCGUUACUCGGAAUUACUGGGCGUAAAGCGUGCGUAGGUGGUUGUUUAAGUCUGUUGUGAAAGCCCUGGGCUCAACCUGGGAAUUGCAGUGGAUACUGGGCAACUAGAGUGUGGUAGAGGGUAGUGGAAUUCCCGGUGUAGCAGUGAAAUGCGUAGAGAUCGGGAGGAACAUCCAUGGCGAAGGCAGCUACCUGGACCAACACUGACACUGAGGCACGAAAGCGUGGGGAGCGAACAGG